rnacentral:rRNA from 1 species
UACGUAGGGACCAAGCGUUGUUCGGAUUUACUGGGCGUAAAGGGCGGGUAGGCGGCCACCGCAAGUCAGUUGUGAAAUCUCUGGGCUUAACCCAGAAAGGUCAACUGAUACUGCGGGGCUAGAGUGCAGAAGGGGCAACUGGAAUUCUCGGUGUAGCGGUGAAAUGCGUAGAUAUCGAGAGGAACACCUGCGGCGAAGGCGGGUUGCUGGGCUGACACUGACGCUGAACUGCGAAAGCUAGGGGAGCGAACGGG